UAAAAGCACGUGAAGCCGUUGAAAGGGAAACGCGCUCGGCUAGCAAUGUGCCACGGUGGUUCAGCCGGCUUGGCGGCGGAGGUCGUGCCUUUCGGAUCCGAAGGACCGAGGGUGCGGUCGUCCGUUGUCGAGCUGCGGUGCACUCUACCGGGGCACGCGUCAGCGUCGGUUUGCAGCAGGCGACAAGGCCAGUUGGAAGGUAGCUCGAAGCUUGCUCCGAGUAUUAUAGACAACUGAUGCUGGGUCUGCUGCAGACCGAGGAGAGAGAUGAUCGCUGCAGUGCAUGCCGCAAGGCUAGCUGCCCGUUGUCCGGUUUGCCGCACGAGCUGAGGACUGCACGCAGUGUUCGGUUCGGCACGGUGGCCGGGUGGUGGAGCGGUAUACAUGCACUUAGGACGCUGGCGUCCAAAUGGCCGUGCGCGA
rnacentral:rRNA from 1 species